rnacentral:antisense_RNA from 1 species
GUUCAGGCUGCUGGGUGACAUUUCUAUGUCUCCCCUUCAACGGUGAAAUAUUUCAGUGGUUGUCCAUCACCUAUGGGAGUCUGACAUGGCAUAAUCAGGCCACUGGGGCAUUGCUAGUUGUGCUGUCCCUGAUAUUCACUGUGGUAGGCAGUUUCUGAAAUGGCUCCCAGUGAUCCCCAACUCCUGAAAUUCACACUCUGUGUAAUCCCCUCCCUUUGAGUGUGGGCUAGACCUGGUGGCCAAAGUGAUAGGAUUUCACUUCUGAUGUUAGGCUAUGAAAGGCUGUGACCGCUCUCUCUGCCUCUUCUCUCUCACUUGAAGCAAACUGACAUGCUGAAAGCUGCCCUAUGGAGAGGCUCAUGUGGCAAGGAACAUGGGGGUGGCUUCUGGCCAACACCCAGUGAGGAACUCAGGCCCUCAGUCAAACAGCCUGCAAGGAACUGAACCCUGCCAAUAACCCUGGGUUGAAAGCUUCCCUUUGGAGAAGAACUGAGGGCUGUCUCUGGUCAAUAGCACUGAGGAACUGAAUCCAGCAAACAAUUAUGUGAAGAAACUUGGA